rnacentral:rRNA from 1 species
AAGUCGAGCGGUAACAUUUCUAGCUUGCUAGAAGAUGACGAGCGGCGGACGGGUGAGUAAUGCUUGGGAACAUGCCUUGAGGUGGGGGACAACAGUUGGAAACGACUGCUAAUACCGCAUAAUGUCUACGGACCAAAGGGGGCUUCGGCUCUCGCCUUUAGAUUGGCCCAAGUGGGAUUAGCUAGUUGGUGAGGUAAUGGCUCACCAAGGCGACGAUCCCUAGCUGGUUUGAGAGGAUGAUCAGCCACACUGGGACUGAGACACGGCCCAGACUCCUACGGGAGGCAGCAGUGGGGAAUAUUGCACAAUGGGCGCAAGCCUGAUGCAGCCAUGCCGCGUGUGUGAAGAAGGCCUUCGGGUUGUAAAGCACUUUCAGUCAGGAGGAAAGGUUAGUAGUUAAUACCUGCUAGCUGUGACGUUACUGACAGAAGAAGCACCGGCUAACUCCGUGCCAGCAGCCGCGGUAAUACGGAGGGUGCGAGCGUUAAUCGGAAUUACUGGGCGUAAAGCGUACGCAGGCGGUUUGUUAAGCGAGAUGUGAAAGCCCCGGGCUCAACCUGGGAACUGCAUUUCGAACUGGCAAACUAGAGUGUGAUAGAGGGUGGUAGAAUUUCAGGUGUAGCGGUGAAAUGCGUAGAUAUCUGGAGGAA